GACAGAGGCCACGAACGUUGUUCGGAAUCACUGGGCAUAAAGCGCACGUAGGCGGCUGGGUCCGUCGGACGUGAAAGCCCCCGGCUCAACCGGGGAAUUGCAUCCGAUACAGCCCGGCUUGAGGACGGUUGGGGUGAGUGGAACUCCUGGUGGAGCGGUGAAAUGCGUAGAUAUCAGGAGGAACACCGGUGGCGAAAGCGGCUCACUGGACCGUGACUGACGCUGAGGUGCGAAAGCUAGGGGAGCAAAUGGG
rnacentral:rRNA from 1 species